UACGUAGGGGGCUAGCGUUGUCCGGAUUUAUUGGGCGUAAAGCGCGUGUAGGCGGCUUUGCAAGUCGGGUGUGAAAGCCCUCAGCUCAACUGAGGAAGUGCGCCCGAAACUGCAGAGCUUGAGUACCGGAGAGGGUGGCGGAAUUCCCCAAGUAGAGGUGAAAUUCGUAGAUAUGGGGAGGAACACCGGUGGCGAAGGCGGCCACCUGGACGGUCACUGACGCUGAGACGCGAAAGCGUGGGGAGCAAACGGG
rnacentral:rRNA from 1 species